UACGUAGGUCCCGAGCGUUGUCCGGAUUUAUUGUGCGUAAAGCGAGCGCAGGUGGUUUAUUAAGUCUGGUGUAAAAGGCAGUGGCUCAACCAUUGUAUGCAUUGGAAACUGGUAGACUUGAGUGCAGGAGAGGAGAGUGGAAUUCCAUGUGUAGCGGUGAAAUGCGUAGAUAUAUGGAGGAACACCGGUGGCGAGAGCGGCUCUCUGGCCUGUAACUGACACUGAGGCUCGAAAGCGUGGGGAGCAAACAGG
rnacentral:rRNA from 1 species